CCUGGGCUACACACACGCUACAAUGGUCGGUACAAUGGGUCGCCAAGCCGCGAGGCGGAGCCAAUCCUCCAAAAACCGGCCUCAGUUCAGAUUGUAGGCUGCAACUCGCCUGCAUGAAGUUGGAGUUGCUAGUAACCGCGCGUCAGCUAUAGUGCGGUGAAUACGUUCCCGGGCUU
rnacentral:rRNA from 1 species